rnacentral:tRNA from 2 species
GCCCAGAUGGCGGAAUUGGUAGACGCGCAACGUUGAGGUCGUUGUGUCUUAGGACGUGGAGGUUCGAGUCCUCUUCUGGGCACCA